rnacentral:lncRNA from 1 species
UGCAAUUGGAUUUGUAUAGGUCUGUUUGAUUUUAUUUUAUAGAUUGAAAAUAGAUGUUUCUCAUUUUUUUUAACCGUAUAAGAAUGAUUUUAUGUGCAUCGAAUUAGUAAUCAAAUGAUUUACCGUAGUUUCACUUUCAUUGUUGACAUUCUUUUUCUUUAAAUAACCAGUACACGUACAAUUCAUGCGUUGUCAAUCUUUAGCUAGGGGUUAAAUUGAAGUUCA